AAGUAAUGAACGUCGACUAAUACCUGCCACAUCGUGUGGCAAACGUCGACGCCAGCCCAUCCUGGGCA
rnacentral:sRNA from 1 species